AGGGAAUAUUGGUCAACGGGCGAAAGCCUGAACCAGCCAAGCAGCGUGCAGGAUGACGGCCCUAUGGGUUGUAAACUGCUUUUAUACGGGGAUAAAGUGAGGGACCGUGUCCCAUUUUUGUACGGUACCAGUAUGAAUAAGGACCGCGCCUAAUUCCGUG
rnacentral:rRNA from 1 species